rnacentral:tRNA from 1 species
GGGGAUUUGGCUCAGUGGUAGAGCGCUUGCCUAGCAAGCGGGCCCUGGGUUCGGUCCCCAGCUCCG